AGACAGACAGACAGACAGGUUUGAUCUCUUUAUGGUCCGUGUUUCCGGCUGUUCGGAGCGUGUCCUGCAGGAGGCGCCGCUGCUCCAGGCUCGCGCGCCGGAAGUGAGUUUGAGUUGAGUUGAGUUUGCAGAAGUUCUGACUCACUGGAGUUCAGAAAGGCAUUAGAUUCUCCCUCCUGCACUUUAAACUCUCCCGCAGCACAUGCAGAAAUACAGCAACGAGCACGUGUUGUACUGACGGGUAUAUCACGAUACUGAAGACGAGCACAGGUGAGCAGACACUACAGUCUGAAUCUCACCUCAUGCGGCUGGAAAGGAAAGGUCUCAUGUCUAAAUCUGGCAGACGAACACAAUGAAGCGCUAAACGCCCGUCAAACUGACUCACUGACAUUUCACAGCAUCACUGUCAUCUGCCAAUCACAGCGAGAGGAGGAGGAUGAAUAUUCAUGAGGACACGCCCCCUGGGAUAAACCGGUGCUCUGUUCAGCAUGACAGCGUGAGUCUGCAGUAACGUAAGAAUCUGACACACAUUAAGAGAUGUGAAUGAGAAGCUGUAUCUUCACAGGUAUCAGAGAUGACAGAUAACUCUCUGGGCUCUUCUGCAUUCAUAUAUGUGUAUUUAUAGUCUCUUGUUGACAUUAUAAUGUAACUAAAUGAUAUGAUACAUAUACAAGAGUCUGUUGGACGUAACGCCUCACUCUACAACUCAUUUAAAUACCAAGAUGACUCGAUGCAGACCAUAUAUCUGAUAUGAGCAUGCAGGGAUUCAUGGGAAAUGUGAAGAUUCGGUCCUGAACCCUUCCUCCUCAGCGCUUGAGUCACUUCUCCUUCAGCAGUGUGUGUUACUAGGGCGUUUUCAGGUCGUAGUAUGUUGCUAUGCUGUCACUAGGGUGUUUUGGGUGGUUAAUGUGUUGCUGUGCAGUUUCUAGCAUGUUUUAAACAAUCGUUCAUUCAUUUGUGGGUUUUACUGAUUUAGUCAUUUGUGUAUUUAUUUAUUCAUUCAUUCAUUUGUUUGUUUUUGUUUUUAAUUAGUUAAGUCAUUCCUUCAUUCAUUAUUCUUUUGUUUGUUCACUUAUUUGUUCAUUAGUUCAUUAAUUUGUUUGUUCGUUCUUUCAUGUGUUCAUUCAUGCAUUCAUGCCUACAGUUUAAUUCACGUAGAAGCAGAUUGUCUAAAUAAGCGUAAACUCUUGAAAGCAUCAUGUGACUCAGAGUCGCUUGAGCAGAUUGAAUCUGAUCCUGCGGAUGAACGAACACACACAUCCAUCAUCAUUUACUCCCUCAUGUCAUUCAGACCUUUAUUAAGAUAUAUUGAUUAAUGUCUCAGGUUUUUUUUUUUUGAAGCUUCAGUGUUGUUUGGUUCCCAGCAGUCUUCAGAACAUCUGCUUCAGUUUUCCGCUGAAGAAAGAGAGUCAUCACGAAGCCAAGUGGAUGAUGACAGAACAAUCAGUUUUGAGUGAACGAUUCCUUCAGGACUCAUCUGAGUUUAGAG
ensembl:lncRNA